UACAGGGGGUGCAAACGUUGCUCGGAAUUAUUGGGCGUAAAGCGCGCGUAGGCGGUGACUCAAGUCGGAUGUGAAAGCCCUUGGCUUAACCGAGGAAGUGCAUCCGAAACUGAGUCGCUAGAGUUUGGAAGAGGGUCGCGGAAUUCACAGUGUAGUGGUGAAAUACGUAGAGAUUGGGAAGAACACCAGUGGCGAAGGCGGCUAUCUGGACGGUUUCUGACACUAAGACUCGAAAGCGUGGGGAGCAAACAGG
rnacentral:rRNA from 1 species